CAGUAAAGAAGUUUUGAGUAAACACGUUGUCGUUGAAUACCGCUUCUCUGCCGAGCCUUAUUUCAGUGUCUCAUUAUGUAACUCUUUUGUUUUAUCAAAAAUUAUGCCUUUUAUUGGCAUAGAAACACGUUAAGGAAUUUGUAAAUGGCAAAGAUCAAAGGUCAAGUUAAGUGGUUCAACGAAUCUAAAGGCUUCGGUUUUAUUACUCCCGCUGACGGCAGCAAAGAUGUGUUUGUACACUUCUCUGCUAUCCAGGGGAAUGGUUUUAAAACGCUGGCUGAAGGUCAGAACGUAGAGUUUGAAAUUCAAGAUGGUCAGAAAGGUCCUGCAGCGGUUAACGUUGUAGCAAUCUGAUGCAUUUAAUCACUGACAUUAGUCAGUGUGUAAUAAGCCUCGUUAACAUGCGGGGCUUU
rnacentral:sRNA from 1 species